ACUAGAAGUAAUAACUAGAAGUAAUAGGGUUAGGGUUACAAAGGCAAGGUGUAUCAGGUAGAAAAAGUUCAUGAUAGGUAAACAGGUCCUAGUACCCAUCCUUGGGGUUACAAUCACUAGGGGAUUUCAGCUGGAACAUCACACAUACACUAUAGGUAAAUAGGUCCUAGUACCCAUCCUUGGGGUUACAAUCACUAGGGGAUAUCAGCUGGAACAUCACACAUACACUAUAGGUAAAUAGGUCCUAGUACCCAUCCUUGGGGUUACAGUGACUAGGGGAUAUCAGCUGGAACAUCACACAUACACUAUAGGUAAACAGGCCCCUAGUACCCAUCCUUGGGGUUACAAUGGCAAGGUGUAUCAGGUGGAAAAGCAAGCAUUCACAACAAAAACAGCCCCUAGUAGCCAUACUUUAAGUCUUCUUAGCUUCCCAAAAUCUUGGAACCUAAGAGUAGCCCCGGUCAAACAGAGAACAGAGAAGUAACUCUGCACUGUUAUGUUGCUUACCAUACUUUUCCCUUCUACUCUGUUGUACGGUUCCACACAUGUAGAACCUUUAGAGCUUCCCAGGAGGACGACCAAAGAA
ensembl:lncRNA